rnacentral:lncRNA from 1 species
UCAGUUAUGUCAUGUGAUGUUUUGCUGAAGCAGAUAGCACAGGAUGGACCUGAGUGAGCACAAUAUAUGAUCCAUACUAUGAUCAGGACAUCAUCAUCACCACCACCAUCAUCAUAGACCUUGGGAUUCUCCUCUCUGCUGAUCCACUGGUGACAAGAGCUGUUGAGAAUGUUUCAGGUCAUGCAACACCGGGCCAGAUGUUCCCCAUCUCAUCUCAAAGCAGAAAAUGCAUAAAGAGGGCUCAGGGCACUCAAUCCAAAGUAAGGCUCCUUGGCACACUGGAUAUUUC